CUUUGAUCUAAUUACAGAUUCUACUUCCCAAAGGGCUUUUUCUGUGUGUGAUGAAAACUGAGCUGGAAAAUUACUGACACUUUGGAAGGCCACAAUGGAAGAACUGCUUGAAGCCAGGAGUUCAAGACUAGCCUGGGAAACAUAGUAAGACCCCAUCUUUACAAAAUUGUUUUAAAAAAUUAGCCAGGCAUAGUGGCACCUGCCUACAGUCCCAGCUACUCAGGAGGCUAAAGUGAGAGGAUCAUGUGAGCCCAGAAGUUACAGGCUACAG
rnacentral:lncRNA from 1 species